GGCGGCGGGAUUAAUUAAAGACCCGAUCAAGCGGCCCGCAGAGGGGCGUGACCUUGUUUCCUCAGGAGCGUGGCGGUGGUCUUACUACUAUGUUCGUUAUAGCGCGGCAGAAAGAAGAAAUGUUAUGACAACAGAGCAGCAAGUCCCAUGGUCCUAGCUAAAAGGCGGUACGGCUGUGACUGCUGAGAUGGAGAGUCCUCAAAGAGGGAGUCUCGCUCUGUCGCCAGGCUGGAGUGAAGUGGCACAAUCUCAGAUCACUGCAACCUCUGCCUCCCAAGUUCAAGCAAUUCUCCUGCCUCAGCCUCCCGAGUAGCUGUGACUACAGGGAAUUAAACUUAUGGUCUCUCACCUGAGCAUGGAGUGGAAAUGGGCAUAUAAGGUAAUCACAGAAGUUAUCACACCUACACCCUUCCCAGUAUAUGGAUGUACUAGGGAGGAAGAUUCCAUGGAAGAGGUAAAAUCCCCCCCCAUGCUUCAUUAUAGAAAGAAAAAGAGAACACUCUCUUCCUAACAGAACGGACCACUGUCUCAGCAUGUGGGAUGGUGAUAAUGAGGGAAUGAUUACCUACCAUCAGAUCAACAAUUAGUAUACACUGAAAUUACAAUGACUGUGAGACUGACCUAAGUGUGAAUAUACAACUUCUGAGCUUCCACUGCCUUUGGAGGGAUCACCACCAGGAUGCAGUCUAAAGGAAACUGUAGUGGUUUUAAAACAUUUACAACUUAAUUCUAAUGUUCAUGCACAUUUGAGACUGUGAAGUUAAAUGUAAUACAGCUGUAAGUACUCAGAUUAAUAUACAAAAUUUUAGUAAAUACUAAAAAACUUACCUAGAUUUAUCCAAAUUCCACCUGGCUUGAGUAUUUUCCAUAUUGUAUCAAUAUAAUCAAUUACAUUGUGAGCUGUGUCUAUGAAGAAACAGGUAGCAAUACAGUCCCAGGUAUCUAAUGAAGAAAAAUCAAAUUACUGCAUCUGUUAUGUUAUUUUGCUUUUUUCUUUUAAUUAAUUAUUUAAAUCUGCCAGUUACCUUUUACAGAGUAUUAAUAUUUGACAGAGAUACAGAAGCUAAACUUCUGAUCAACAUUAUAAUUACAGUAACCAACAGUCAUUUAUGGGAAAUACUGAUAUCAAUAAUCUGAUUAAGUAAUCAAUUUGGAAAUCAUCCCCAAUAACACUAAUAUUAUAAUCUAAUCUCUACAUAUUAUUACCAAAUGGUAUUUGUUAGAGUUUUGUUUAUCCUCUAUUCAACUUCUAGCCUUCAUUUAAAAUCACUUAAAACAAAAUAAUAGUCAUUCAAAUUUAAACUAGUGUUAACCACCAAUUCUGGCAGGUUUCAGAAAGACUGCAGGCACCGGUUGCCAACUGAGAAAUGAAUGACAUCCAAAUACUUCAACAUCUACCACAACUUCGAAUAAUUACCAGGGAAAAAGGGGAGCCAGGGGCAGGCAGAAGCAGUGGGUGGGAACCCAGCAGAGAACACCGUUUGCCUGUAGGAGGUAUGGUGUCUAUACAAAUGCUGGUGCAAUAAAGGCACUUGAUCCCAUGGAGGACUACCUUCAUCAUCUGUUCUCUCAAACCUUGCUCCAGAAAAAGGGGACUUUUACUUGCCUAAGUGAUGUUUUACAUUAUUUCAUUCCUUAUCCACAACACCUAACAUCUUCCAUCUCUCCCUUUCUUCCUUCAGAGUACAGGUUGUCCCAAUCUCAGAGUUCAGAGAAAAAUAAACAGAAACUUUCUAUGUUGU